AGAGCCCAGCCUCCAGCACUGUUAUUUUUAUGUCACCCCACUGGCACUCAGGCUGUUUUCACGGGGAGGAGAAGCCAGUGGGUAAAUUUUACCUCCUGUGCGUGUAGAGGCUGCAAACACUUGCACAAUUUCCUGUGAGAUAGCUGGAAAUUCUUAGUUCAUCUCUUUUCAUUCUGUAACUCCCUCCCUUUUCCCUCUGCCUGCUCUGUGGAUACCUCUGAUACAUCACCUUGCUGUCCAUCCUCCCUGCUCUGCUCCCAGCCCCCUGCUCUCCUCUGUGUGCUGCUGAAUGCACCCCAGCCCCGGGUGGGAUGUGGGGCAGGACAGGGAUGUGGGGUAGGACAGGGAUGUGGCUGGGGACUGUCCUGGCUCUCCCACCAAGGCUUGUCCUGCCUAACAGCCGAGCCUGGAUCACUCUGGCUGAGCACAGCAGAGCUCAGCAGAGCCUCCCAGAUUUAUAACCACAGAGCUGGGUGCUUUUCAUGCUGAUCUGGGGGUCCUGCUCUCCUCAUCUGUGGCACUGCACAGUGCAGGCAGGAGGCUUUCAGUGGGACACCCAGGGUAUUUUGGGAUAAAGGAACAGCUGGGAUACCCAGGCACUAUCUGGAGCAGAACCAUGCCAGUGAAGGGCUCUUGGUAGAAAUAACCCAGCAUUAUUUUUUCCCAGGGUCCAACAUUCAUGGAACCAACUCCCCGAGCAGAGAAUCAAAUGCAGAAAGAAGCAACAAGGCUUUGGCAGUGAUUAAAAUACUUUCAAGCUGGAUUGGGAAGAUCUGGCAGUGCUUGGGAGAUUGUGGAAGGUCGUUGUGGCUGGAGCUGGAGCAUCCUCAAAAAUCCGCCUCACCUCUGGGCAGCAGUGGAAAACAUGGAUCUGCCCUGGCAGAUUCCCACUGUUCUUCCCUGGGAUCUGCCGAUGGAGCUACUCCCCCCUCUCUGCUGUUCCACUACCAGCUCUCCCAAGUUUCCCUGGAGAAAGAAACCAGGAUGCUCCUUAAGCAAAGGAUCUGUGCCCAGGACACCUGAUGGAGCAUCGUGGAUGAGGGAGGAUCCCACCAAAGCUCCUUUCACACUGAGAGCCCCAAGCAGCCAUCAGAUUCCCCAGAGGGUGCAGCACUGCCCGAGGCAGCUCCAGUUCCAUCAGCAGUGUAUCCCUGAGGAAAUGAAGGGGAUGGGCCAGUGAUCUCAGUUGCUCUCUUGGAACCAUUAUUGUUGAACUGGUAAAUAUUUCCUUUUAAAUGCUUACAUGCUUUCAAAAAAUUUGCAGGGCUUAGUGGGAACAAAUAUUCCCAGGGGGCUGUAUCCUGCCAUUCAUUUGCACAUCAGAUCCCUGCUAUCUUUAAGAAUGGUUCUGUGCAUGGGCAGGCGCCUAAGUCAUUUGAGAAACAAUAACCCUCUGUGCUCUAAUUUUCCAGACAAAAAUGUAGACAAAACAAGUGGCAAUUUGGCACAAACCGAGCCACUUUGAUAAAUAACCGGGCAUUUAAGAGGAGAAGUGUGUAGGCAGCUGGGCUCGGGCUGCCCGAGCUGUCCCAGGGCAGGUGCUGGGCAGCCGGAGCUGAGCCCUGGGUGUCACCCUGGAGAUUCCCUCUGCAGCUGGGGGGCUUCCAGGGAAUUCUCUAAGCAUCCUUUGGGAUUUGCUGGAAAGCUGGCGGUUCAUCACCGGCUCCUGCAGGAUUUUGGGAUGAGCUCAGGGCGAUUAGCGGGCACGGCGGGAGGGUCAGGACCAGGUCUCUAACCUAGGGAGCGCUGAUGUCUCCUAAAACCCUCUGUGCUCGUGGUGGGGAGUGCGGACCACGACAGGAAUUUUUAGUAAAGAGAAUUAAUUCUGCCCUGGCCACUGCACUGGUGAGGGACCAUUCCCCGGGAGAGUCCGAACACCCCUGGGCGAGGGGG